rnacentral:tRNA from 1 species
GCCUGCAUAGUUAAAUGGAUAUAAUAAGCCCCUCCUAAGGGUUAGUUAUGGGUUCGAGUCCCGUUGCGGGUGCCA